GGGGCCUCACACGCUUGUCAAGUGCCCGUCACGGAGCUCAGCUCGGAGGGACAACGCGGGCUGCCGCGGAAGACUCGCGAGCUGGGGCUUGAGUGCGUUUUCGAGCGGGCGGCCGGGGUGAACUGAGCGUCUAAGCUGCUCACACGUCUCCGCCUGUUUCCCUCCAGCACAGUAAUGCCGACCGCCGACCGCCUGGCGUGGCUGUGAGAACUAAAUGAGCUAGUAUUUGCAAAGCACUUAGAAUAAGGCCUGCACAUACUAAGCACCAGGCCUCAGUUUUGCCCUGUGGAUUUGCUCCCUGCAUAUCCCAUAGAGGUUGAGGUGGGGUUGCUGCGGUGCUGGAGCCCUACACUGCGAUGCCUCCAUACCCAUGUGGGGUGCCCAAGGUCCCAGCAGACUCUGCUUUGGGUAACAAGAGAACUUGGGGCUAAGCAAAGAGGUAAUUUCAUAACUGGGCCACACCCAGCACUGGGUUUCUCUCUGGGUUUUGUCAUCCUGUGCCCUACACCUUGCCCUCUGGGGCUGGGCACUGAACUGGGUGGAGCUGUGACAGCUCUCACCUCCCACGCUCCUUCUUUAGGCCCCGAACCCCCACCCCUGGGUCCUAGCCAUGGAGCUGUCACUCUUGGGUCUCCCUAGGGUCUAACCUCAAUCCCCUGUGAUCCAAAGUCAGAGCCUCUAGUGGGGGACUGUGGAAAGAGCUUUGGAGGCAGCUACUUCGGAGGCCUCUGACUGACCGUGGGCCCCCAUUUACUUCAGCCUCAGUUUGUCCUCCUGUAAAAUGGGGUAACAAAACUCUGGAGGACUGUGUGGGGCCUGGAGAUGACAAAGGCAGAGCCCUGGCCCCAUUCCUGCUGGUGAAUGGCGGAGACAGUGUGGUCGUGGGUUCAGUGUCGGCCAGUUCUGGGUUUGUCUCCAGGUGCUGACACUUACUGGCUCUGUGGCUUGAAUCAGUUGAAUGCUGAGCCUAAAUUUACCGCUCAUGGUGGAGGGCCGCAGAGCUCACCAUAUGGCAUUUUACUAUGGGUGAGGUGAUAUCCAGCACAGAGCAGGUGCACAUCAACGGUGACUCUCCGGCCGCCAGGCUGGCCUUUCUAGGGACCUCAGAGGACACCUGAGACAACCUUAAAGUCACCGGGCACCCUCAAGCCUCAGGGUAGUUCAGCCCCUCUGCUGCCCCUUUCUAGCCAGGCAGAGCUCUCCUCAGUUACUCAGUAUAGGAAAUGAUGAGCAAUAACUUGAGGGAACCUUCUGUGCUGAGGGCUCCAGGCAACUGUGAAAUGAUGGCGGAACAGGACUGAGUGUGCCCAUGUCCCCCUAGCAAUCCCAUGGCCCUGCUCGUAGAGGACAUUCCCCAGUCACAUUCCAAGACUUUCUUGACUGUGCAGUCAGGAAGUUCCUCUUUCAGUCUAACUCAGCCUCUCCUUGCUGCCAACUGAACUAAUUUUGUUCUCAAUGGAAAUGGUCACACUCCUCAGUCUGUCCCCUGUCAUGGUCACUCUAGCCUUUUCUCAGCCCCAAGUCCCGAGCCUCAUCACAUUUUCCAUUUGGAAGAAGAGAGAAGUUCCCCAGUUGGGACACCUCUGCCGCUCAGGGAGUCCCCAGGAUCUGCCCCGUGGAAGAGACGAAGCUCUGGCUACUCACUGC